rnacentral:rRNA from 1 species
UGGCUCAGGAUGAACGCUAGCGGCAGGCUUAACACAUGCAAGUCGAGGGGCAUCGGGAGUAGCAAUACUUGCCGGCGACCGGCGCAAGGGUGCGUAACGCGUGAGCAACAUGCCCGUAUCAGGGGGGAUAAUCCAUGGAAACGUGGUCUAAUACCCCAUAGUAAUUAUGUAAGGCAUCUUAUAUAAUUUAAAGCUUUGGUGGAUACGGAUUGGCUCGCGUGACAUUAGCUGGAUGGUAAGGUAACGGCUUACCAUGGCUACGAUGUCUAGGGGUUCUGAGAGGAAGGUCCCCCACACUGGAACUGAGACACGGUCCAGACUCCUACGGGAGGCAGCAGUGAGGAAUAUUGGACAAUGGAUGGAAAUCUGAUCCAGCCAUGCCGCGUGCAGGGAGAACCGGCCCUAUGGGUUGUAAACUGCUUUUGUAUGGGAGCAAUAAGGGCUACGUGUAGUCCGAUGAGAGUACCAUACGAAUAAGCACCGGCUAACUCCGUGCCAGCAGCAGC